rnacentral:rRNA from 1 species
UGCCAGCCGCCGCGGUAAUACGGAGGGUGCAAGCGUUAUCCGGAUUUAUUGGGUUUAAAGGGUGCGCAGGUGGAAAGAUAAGUCAGUGGUGAAAGGCUGCCGCUUAACGGUAGGACUGCCAUUGAUACUGUUUUUCUUGAGUAUGGUUGAGGUAGGCGGAGUGUGUUGUGUAGCGGUGAAAUGCAUAGAUAUGACACAGAACACCGAUUGCGAAGGCAGCUUACUAAGCCAUUACUGACGCUGAGGCACGAAAGCGUGGGGAGCGAACAGGAUUAGAUA